CGUGUAGGCGGGAUAUUAAGUCAGAUGUGAAAGUCCUAGGCUCAACUUAGGGAGUGCAUCUGAAACUAAUAUUCUUGAGUGGAGGAGAGGAAAGCGGAAUUCCCAGUGUAGCGGUGAAAUGCGUAGAUAUUGGGAGGAACACCAGUGGCGAAGGCGGCUUUCUGGACUUUAACUGACGCUGAGGCGCGAAAGCGUGGGGAGCAAACAGGAUUAGAUACCCUGGUAGUCCACGCCGUAAACGAUGGAUACUAGGUGUAGGAGGUAUCGACCCCUUCUGUGCCGGAGUUAACACAAUAAGUAUCCCACCCUGGGGAGGUACGAUCGCAAGAUUGAA
rnacentral:rRNA from 1 species